AGGAUCUGUCAACUUGAAUACUUCUGCAAUGGCUUCAAUGACAUCACAAAGUCCUGCUGUAUUCUCUCCAGAUUCCUGUUAAAGAUUGUCACAUGUUUGCCCUGUGCUGUUCAACAUUUUCACAAAUGACUUGGAGGAGGUACUCGAGUGGUACUUAUCAAAUCUACAGACGACGCAAACAGCAGGGAUAAUGAACACCUUAAAAGGCAGAAUCAAGAUUCACUAUCUGGACAGGCUUGAAUUUUGGGCCAAAACCAACAAGAGGAAGUUCAACAGAGACAAAUGUAAAGUCCAGCAUUUAGAUCAAAAAUCCAGAGAUUGGGAAAAGGGAUAAAGCAUUCAGUGACUGACCAUGCCAGUCUUCCAGUCUGCAGAAAACAAGUCCUGCCACCCCUCUCUUCAGAUUUAUCACAAACUGAGAUACACUUAAGGCUCUGGAAAUCUCCCGAAAAUAGUUCCACAAGUCAAUGGACAUAUCUCGGUGCAUGCAGUUCAUCAGUCAAAAGUUCUUGUCGAGUG